GACGAACGCUGGCGGCGUGCUUAACACAUGCAAGUCGAACGGCGACGCACCUUCCUUUUUGGUUGGUGUGGAUGAGGGGCGAACGGGUGAGUAACACGUGCGUAACCUGCUCUUUCCUUCUGGAUAACCGCAUGAAAGUGUGGCUAAUACGGGAUACUCCGGGUCUUUCGCAUGAGGGGUCUGGGGAAGCUUUUGCUUCGGAGGGGGAUGAGCUCGCGGCCUAUCAGCUUGUUGGUGGGGUGAUGGCCUACCAAGGCGGUGACGAGUAGCCGGGCGGAGAGGGUGAGCGGUCACGGUGCGGCUGCGACGCGGAGAAGACUCCGACGGGAGGCAGCGGGGAAGAUUAGAGCACGGGGGGAACACGGAUGCUGCAGCGACGCGGCGGGGGAGAUGGAGUCCGGCGUGUUGUGACCCUCUUUCGCGAGAGAAGCAGGGCUGCCUCGUUUGUGGGUGGGUUGACGGUACCUGAAGAAGAAGCACCGGCUAACUACGUG
rnacentral:rRNA from 1 species